rnacentral:rRNA from 1 species
CGAACGAAGCAGAAGGAUGCUUGCAUCUUUUUGACUGAGUGGCGGACGGGUGAGUAACGUGUGGAGAACCUACCUUACACAGGGGGAUAACGGCUGGAAACGGCUGCUAAUACCGCAUAAGCAUACAGCUUCGCAUGAAGCCGUGUGAAAAGAAAAAUCGGUGUAAGAUGGCUCCGCAUCUGAUUAGCUAGUUGGUGAGGUAAUGGCUCACCAAGGCGACGAUCAGUAGCCGGCCUGAGAGGGCGACCGGCCACAUUGGGACUGAGACACGGCCCAGACUCCUACGGGAGGCAGCAGUGGGGAAUCUUGCACAAUGGGGGAAACCCUGAUGCAGCAACGCCGCGUGAGCGAAGAAGUAUUUCGGUAUGUAAAGUUCUAUCAGCAGGGAAUAGAAAAGAAGGUACCUGACUAAGAAGCCCCGGCUAACUACGUGCCAGCAGCCGCGGUAAUACGUAGGGGGCAAGCGUUAUCCGGAUUUACUGGGUGUGAAGGGGGCGUAGACGGCUGUUUAAGUCAGAAGUGAAAGCCCAUUGCUUAACGAUGAGACUGCUUUUGAAACUAAAGAGCUGGAGUGCAGGAGAGGUAAGUGGAAUUCCUAGUGUAGCGGUGAAAUGCGUAGAGAUUAAAAGGAACACCAGUGGCGAAGGCGGCUUACUGGACUGUAACUGACGUU